AUGGCCUUGCCGGCGAUCCCCAACGAGCUCCUAGCGGAUAUCUUCCUCCGCCUUUCCACCUCAGAGGACCUCAUCCGCGCCUCCGCCGCCUGCUUUUCCUUCCGCCGCCUCGUCGCCGACCGCGCCUUCCUCCGGCGCUUCCGCAAGCUCCACCCUCCGCCCCUCCUCGGCUUUUUCGACUACAGAGGCUUCCACCCCGCCGAACCGCCUCAUCCCUACGCGCCGGCGGCCAGCGCCGUCGCCGACGACGACCUCAACUUCGGCUUCCUCCCCGGGUCCUCCUUGGACUGGACCAUGCGUGAGGUCCGCGAUGGCCGCGUCCUCCUCAACAGACCCGGCCGUCACGAGCCCCUCUUCAAGGAGACGGUGGUGUGCGACCCCCUGCACCAGCAGUACCUCCUGCUUCCCCCGAUCCCCGGUGACGUAGCCGCUUCGGUUGCGGUCCAACUCCUGAUAGAAAGGGGGGGCUUUGCCGAUUGCUUCCUCGUCCCUUCCGGCGACAAAGAAGAGCCAGACGCAACGGAGGAGACGUCGUUCAGAGUGAUCUGGCUGGUGGUGCUUGAAAAUAAACCGGUCGCCCUUGUCUUCUCUUCCUGCACAGGGCAAUGGCGAGCCAUUACACCCCUGAUUUGGAGCUUACCUGGCUUACAGUUAUCGACAUGGAAGUUUUGGUUCGUGUCGCGCCAUUACGCACAUGGCUGCUUCUACUGGAUUUCAGGUGCUUCUACUGGAUUUCAGGUUCGAUUGAAAAAUUGCUCAUGCUUGACAUCCGGCGGAUGGAGUUCUCCAUGGUUGAUCACCCACCCUGUGCCAGACAUUUGGGCGAUGAUGUGGCCAUCGCGGAGGCAGGCCAAGGCAGGACUCUGA
rnacentral:rRNA from 1 species